rnacentral:lncRNA from 1 species
CCCUAAUCUAUGGAUUUCACAUGACUGGGAUUACAGAUAUGCAUCUGUUGGACACAGACGCCUUCUAAAAAAGGUAGGGGUGUGGAUCAGAAAACCAGUCCGUAUCUGGUGUGAGCACCAUUUGCCUCAUGCAGCCCGCCACAUCUUCACAGAGAGUUGAUCAGGCUGUUGAUCCACUCCUCUCCCAUAGGGCGGCCCACAAUUGGCCCAGUGUCGUCCGGGUUAUGGGUUGGCCGGCGUAGGCCGUCAUUGUAAAUAAGAAUUUGUUCUUAGCUGACUUGCCUAGAUAAAUAAACAAUUCAAUGGCUGUGUGAAUUUGCUGGAUAGCCCUGCUGGAAAAUCCAGCUUAGAACCGUAGCGGUGCGUGGUACAAUCACUGGCAUAACUCCCCCUCCCCUCAUGCCGUGCGACCGUGAGAUAUAGGCCUAAAGGCCAGGACAAUAAGAAGACACAGCGACAGAAUGAAUUCAACUAUACAUUUGUUUUAUUUUAUUUAAGUAGGCAAGUUAGUUCAGAACAAAAUCUUAUUUUACAAUGGCGGCUUACCCCCCCGGCCAAACCCUCCCGUAACCUAGAUGACGCUGGGCCAAUUGUGCGCCGCCGUAUGGGACUCCAGAUCACGGCCAGUUGUGAUACAGCCCGGGAUCGAACCAGGGUCUGUAGUGAUGCCUCUAGCACUGAGAUGCAGUGCCUUAGACUGCUGUGCCACUUGGAUAGCAACCUCUGUCCAGUGAAGUCCACAAAGCAUAUUGCAUGUACAGCAACAGAAAAUUACAUGACCUACAGCAUGGUCAAGCAAGUUAAUGUUUACGACAUUUUCGGACUACUAAACAACUAUUGAUUUAGAACCAUAGAGAGUUACCGCAAGUCACAAAGAAAACAGGAGCUUCCUCCACUAUUCCAGCACCAUUUCAACUUCAACAUUUCAUCCUCAUCAAAAUCACCUCGGCUUAGUCUAAUACAGUAACAACUAAAAUAUACCAAAAACAAUUUAGUCCAAUCAACAUCAGCUAAAUAUGAUGUGGGUGUCCAUGUUUCUGAUUUAUGUGUGUGUGUGUGUGCGUUCGCGCAAGUAGAAAAACAUGUUGACUCAUGAAACAGUCUAUCACUCUGUCAUACAGUACACACUUUUAUUAUUUGUUGUCCUAGGCUACCUGGUUAAAAUUAUUGCUGGCUAGCCUAACUUCCAAUCAUGGGCAAUGUUAGCUAGUUAACAUUAGCCUCCUACAUCUAAUUUCCAUCCUCUCGAGCCAGGGGCACAACAAUGUAUGAAUUAAUUGUUGGAUCAGAAUCGCCGUUAUAAUCAUUGGCCAGUAUGGAUCCCUAUCUCCAUCCAUCGUUCAUUUAGGAAAGGGCCAAUUUUAGUUAGCUGGCUAGCUAGCCAUCGGAGGACAACAACACAACAAGAUGCAACAAUUUAAGUUUUUCUGUCAAUGAUGUAUGCGCUCAAUGGGAUUUGAUCGGAACGACGCCAAAUCCAAGCUGGCUUCCCUUGACAAUUUUUUGGGGUGUGCCAGGACCAUUCACAUUUGAGCUUGCUUAGUUUAGCUCAACAAUGAUUGGCACAUUUUUUAUACUUUUUUUUAAUCAAGGGAGGCCAGAUGCUCGCUGGCUUCCCUUGCCUUCAACGCUACAGCCGGCAACAAUGUCAUACUGGUUUGGACCAGACAGCACCAGAUAGAUGGCCUACACGUAGAGACAGAGGGGCGCUGUUUCACUCGCUCAGAUCCUAUGAGAUACAUCAAAUCAAAUUGUAUUUGUCACAUGCGCCGAAUACAACAGGUGUAGGCCUUAAAGUGAAAUGCUUACUUACAAGCCCUUAACCAACAAUGCAGUUCAAGAAAGAGUUAAGAAAAUAUUUACUAAAUAAACUAAAGUAAAAAAUUAAAUCAAAAGUAACACAACAAAAUAUCAAUAACCAGGCUAUAUACAGGUUAAUGUAUACAUUAAGUCUCUUGCGAAUUAAAGGAAAAGUAUCUAUUCUAGGUAUUCUAUUGUUUACAAAAAUUAUUACAACGUCUGAUUGUUGUGGCUACUAAUCUUAGAUGUCAAAUUAGCCACUUGAUGCUUGAAUGAAUGUUGACUGCAUUGUACACACUUGGCAAACAGUCUUGGAGAGGAGGGCAGGGUUACCUGGUGUAUACUACAGGUGAGUCUUGGAGAGGAGGGCAGGGUUACCUGGUGUAUACUACAGGUGAGUCUUGGAGAGGUGGGGUAGGAUUACCUGGUAUAUACUACAGGUGAGUCUUGGAGAGGAGGGUAGGAUUACCUGGAAUAUACUACAAGUGAGUCUUGGAGAGGAGGGCAGGGUUACUUGGUAUAUACUACAAGUGAGUCUUGGAGAGGAGGGCAGGGUUACCUGGUAUAUACUACAGGUGAGUCUUGGAGAGGAGGGCAGGGUUACCUGGUAUAUACUACAGGUGUGUCUUGGAGAGGAGUGUAGGAUUACCUGGUAUAUACUACAGGUGAGUCUUGGAGAGGUGGGGUAGGAUUACCUGGUGUAUACUACAGGUGAGUCUUGGAGAGGAGGGCAGGGUUACCUGGUAUAUACUACAGGUGAGUCUUGGAGAGGAGGGUAGGAUUACCUGGUAUAUACUACAGGUGAGUCUUGGAGAGGAGGGUAGGAUUACCUGGUAUAUACUACAGGUGAGUCUUGGAGAGGAGGGUUAGGAUUACUUGGUAUAUACUACAGGUGAGUCUUGGAGGAGGGGUAGGAUUACCUGGUAUAUACUACAGGUGAGUCUUGGAGGAGGUGUAGGAUUACUUGGUAUAUACUAUAGGUGAGUCUUGGAGAGGAGGGGUAGGAUUACAUGGCAUACAGUACAGGUGAGUCUUGGAGAGGAGGGGUAGGAUUACCUGGUAUACAGUACAGGUGAGUCUUGGAGAGGAGGGGUAGGAUUACCUGGUAUACAGUACAGGUGAGUCUUGAGGAGGGGUAGGAUUACCUGGUAUAUACUACAGGUGAGUCUUGGAGAGGAGGGCAGGGUUACCUGGUAUAUACAAGUGAGUCUUGGAGAGGAGGGUAGGAUUACCUGGUAUAUACUAUAGGUGAGUCUUGGAGAGGAGGGUAGGAUUACCUGGUAUAUACUACAGGUGAGUCUUGGAGGGGUAAGAUUUACCUGGUAUAUACUACAGGUGAGUCUUGGAGAGGAGGGUAGGAUUACCUGGUAUAUACUACAGGUGAGUCUUGGAGAGGAGGGGUAAGAUUUACCUGGUAUAUACUACAGGUGAGUCUUGGAGAGGAGGGUAGGAUUACCUGGUAUAUACUACAGGUGAGUCUUGGAGAGGAGGGGUAGGAUUACCUGGUAUAUACUACAGGUGAGUCUUGGAGAGGAGGGUAGGAUUACCUGGUAUAUACUACAGGUGAGUCUUGGAGAGGAGGGUAGGAUUACCUGGUAUAUACUACAGGUGAGUCUUGGAGAGGACGGGUAGGAGUACCUGGUAUAUAUAGUACAGGUUAGUCUUGGAGAGGAGGGUAGGAUUACUUGGUAUAGUGCAGGAGACAAUGUCAUAAUUAUCCAAAUCUAGGGACAGGCCCGCUGGCCAAAAAACGGUUGAAUCAACGUUGUUUCCACAUCAUUGCAACCCCAAAAAUGUAUGUGAUGACAUUGAAUCAAUGUGGAAAACUAGUUGGAUUUGCAAAAAGUCAUCAAUGUAAGGGCAUUUAAUAUUUUUUUCACCCAACUUUUAACCUAAUUCCAAUGGCGGUAAAUAUUUUUUGUUGAUUUCACGCUAGUUGACAACUCAAUCAAAUGUAAAUCAAAACUACAUGUAAAAAUACUUACCUGGUGCACAAGUGUUCAGUUAAUGUUGGUUUGCCUGUAGAAUAAUAGGGGAGACAGUCCUUUCUUCUUGGUCCAAAAAUACUCCUGAUGAAGUCCCUGAUGAAAUGAUGUUCACUGAAGUAGUUUAAACCUAUACGGUUAUGUUUUCCAGAUCCAUAUUGCUUCUACAUCUGCAUUGCUUGAUGUUUGGGGGUUUAGGCUGGGUUUCUGUAUAGCACUUUGUGACAUAUGCUGAUGUAAAAAGGGCUUUAUAAAUACAUUUGAUUGAUUGGUUCAUAUUGGAGAGGGGGUUUUCAUCCAAAUGGUUGAAAAUAAAUUAUGCAAAUCAGAGAUUCCAAGUUUGUGAAACAAUUAUCAACUUCCAUCUGGGGUUCAGCAACCCUCAGCACCAGGACCCUGGAGGGAAAAGCCUUCCCCACAUUAAAAGCAGCUCCAAAACCUCCCCUGACUCCGAAGAAGUAUAAGGCCUUGAAAGAUAAUUAUAGCUAAUUACAACAUAUGUCUAUACUCUUUUUUUGUAUUGCAAGCUAGGCUUUAUUUAACUAGGCAAGUCAGUUAAGAACACAUUAUCAUUUACAAUGACGGCCUACCAAAAGGCAAAAGGCCUCCUGUGGGGACGGUCGCUGGCAUAAAGAAAAAUUAUAAUACAAAAACUAAAAUAUAUGUAGGUGUGGGAAAUGUGAUGACCUUGUGUCCAAGCAGGCUACACGUAGUUACUGUGUGUGUGUGGAAAACAUUUAACUUGUUUAUCUAGUGUAGUCGGUUUGUAACUUCACUCUCUACUUGUAGCUGUACAGUCGUGGCCAAAAGUUUUGAGAAUGAUUUCACAAAGUCUGCUGCCUCAGUUUGUAUGAUGGCAAUUUGCAUAUACUCCAGAAUGUUAUGAAGAGUGAUCAGAUGAAUUGCAAUUAAUUGCAAAGUCCCUCUUUGCCAUCAUGCAAAUGAACUGAAUCCCCCAAAAACAUUUCCACUGCACUUCAGCCCUGCCACAAAAGGACCAGCUGACAUCAUGUCAGUGAUUCUCUCGUUAACACAGGUGUGAGUGUUGACGAGGACAAGGCUGGAGAUCACUCUGUUAUGCUGAUUGAGUUUGAAUAACAAACUGGAAGCUUCAAAAGGAGGGUGGUGCUUGGAAUCAUUGUUCUUCCUCUGUCAACCAUGGUUACCUGCAAGGAAAGACGUGCCGUCAUCAUUGCUUUGCACAAAAAGGCCUUCACAGGCAAGGAUAUUGCUGCCAGUAAGAUUGCACUUAAAUCAACUAUUUAUCGGAUCAUCAAGAACUUCAAGGAGAGCGGUUCAAUUGUUGUGAAGACGGCUUCAGGGAGCCCAAGAAAGUCCAGCAAGCGCCAGGACCAUCUCCUAAAGUUGAUUCAGCUGCGGGAUCGGGGCACCACCAGUACAGAGCUUGCUCAGUAAUGGCAGCAGGCAGGUGUGAGUGCAUCUGCACGCACAGUGAGGCGAAGACUUUUGGAGGAUGGCCUGGUGUCAAGAAGGACAGCAAAGAAGCCACUUCUUUCCAGGAAAAACAUUCUUUACUCUCUUUUUUUCAAACUGAGUUUUUGUCCGCAUCUUGCAUGCCGCAGCUCUCACGACUUUUGCUCGAGCAUAGAAUGCACAGCCGUGAGAUUGGUUAUUAUGCCCGCGCUCAGAGGCUCCCUGUUCCGGACCAGCUCAGCCGAAUGCCCGGUCUCCAACUGAUGCCAGCCUCGAUGAUCAUGCUGAUAACUCCAUUACACUGGUAUGCCAUGAAGGUAAUUCCUUGGUUCAGGAAUGGAUAUACAGUACCAGUCAAAAGUUUGGACACACCUACUCAUUCCAGGGUUUUUCUUUAUUUUUUACUAUUUUCUACAUUGUAGAAUAGUAGUGAAGACAUCAUCACUAUGACAUAACACAUAUGGAAUCAUGUU